GUGGGGAAUAUUGCGCAAUGGGCGAAAGCCUGACGCAGCGACGCCGCGUGAGGGAUGAAGGUUUUCGGAUCGUAAACCUCUGUCAGAAGGGAAGAAACUACAUUGUGCUAAUCAGCAGUGUACUGACGGUACCUUCAAAGGAAGCACCGGCUAACUCCGUGCCAGCAGCCGCGGUAAUACGGAGGGUGCAAGCGUUAAUCGGAAUUACUGGGCGUAAAGCGCACGUAGGCUGUAGUGUAAGUCAGGGGUGAAAUCCCACGGCUCAACCGUGGAACUGCCUUUGAUACUGCACAACUUGAAUCCGGGAGAGGGUGGCGGAAUUCCAGGUGUAGGAGUGAAAUCCGUAGAUAUCUGGAGGAACAUCAGUGGCGAAGGCGGCCACCUGGACCGGUAUUGACGCUGAGGUGCGAAAGCGUGAGGAGCAAACAGGAUUAGAAACCCCUGUAGUCC
rnacentral:rRNA from 1 species